rnacentral:tRNA from 1 species
GAGCAACUUUGGCGCAGAGGAAGCGUGUUGGGGCUCAUAACCCAAAAGGUCGUUGGAUCGAGACCAACAGUGCUAA